rnacentral:rRNA from 1 species
CCUACGGGAGGCAGCAGUGGGGAAUAUUGCACAAUGGGCGCAAGCCUGAUGCAGCGACGCCGCGUGAGGGAUGACGGCCUUCGGGUUGUAAACCUCUUUCAGUAGGGAAGAAGCGAAAGUGACGGUACCUGCAGAAGAAGCGCCGGCUAACUACGUGCCAGCAGCCGCGGUAAUACGUAGGGCGCAAGCGUUAUCCGGAAUUAUUGGGCGUAAAGAGCUCGUAGGCGGUUUGUCGCGUCUGCCGUGAAAGUCCGGGGCUCAACUCCGGAUCUGCGGUGGGUACGGGCAGACUAGAGUGAUGUAGGGGAGACUGGAAUUCCUGGUGUAGCGGUGAAAUGCGCAGAUAUCAGGAGGAACACCGAUGGCGAAGGCAGGUCUCUGGGCAUUAACUGACGCUGAGGAGCGAAAGCAUGGGGAGCGAACAGGAUUAGAUACCCUGGUAGUCCAUGCCGUAAACGUUGGGCACUAGGUGUGGGGGACAUUCCACGUUUCCGCGCCGUAGCUAACGCAUUAGUCGCCCGCGUGGGGAGGUACGGCCGCGAGACGUAACGUACGAAGAAGUUAGUAGCGUUGNGAGNGCGACGGACGACGACGAGGGAGGAGG